AUCAAAGAAACAUUUCAAAAAACAGCUGUGCCCUAAUAGUAGACUGAUUAAUUUCUGUUUCUCUUCAACAUAACUAACUAGGACAACUUGGCUCUAUUUCAGCUGAAAAUGCAUUGGCAUUUAUCUAAUGACUGUAAGGAAGGCAAAUGUUACAUGUUAAUAUUUCCAUAAAACCGGAGCUUAAGAAAAUCAAAGGCACUUUUUACUUGACUUGGAAUGAACAAAAUUAUUCUGAAGGCUUCUCAGAGCCUUAAGAUGAUUCAAACCUAUUGUUUCUGAUUUUCCAUUGUGGUGACUUCUACGGAGAUAACUAUCAUUUUAAUAGAACAAAACCAGAGGUGAGUUGCCAUAUUUUAAGAGGUUGUUGUCCCAUUUGAUUUUCUACCUAUAGCCAACUAAUUUUCUUUUAAAUCAAGUCUAUAUUAUGAUCACAAAACUUUUGCCAGGUUUAAAGUUCUAUGAUGUGAUUUUCACAAACAGGUGGUAGAAAUUGGACAUUCACCAAUGGGAAAGCUGGUUUGUGCCAUCAAAAAAAAAAUACUUGGUAAUUGUGGGAUGUAAAAGGUGGGUAGCUACAGGCUGGGCACAAAAUCAAAUUUCCUUCUUACACAAUUACUUUUUAUUGUGUUUUAUAUUAUUCACAUAAUUUAGUUUUGAGGAUACAUAAAAUGACAUGUAAAGACUGAUUUUUUUUUACAAUCAUUUUAAGUACUAUGACGAUUUUUAAGAUAGCUCUAGCUAUCCUAACUCUUAUGAACAUUGAAUCUUCACGUUGUUGUUACAGAAUCCAACUAUGUAGACAGCUGGUGUGGCAUGUUAGUUUCUAGUGCGUUGGUUGUCAUUGAUACAGCAUCUAACUUUAA
rnacentral:lncRNA from 1 species